rnacentral:lncRNA from 1 species
CCCAAAUUGUAUAAGAUAUCCCCUACUUUGAUCAUCAGAUUUAACUUCCAGAACCCAUGUAUCACAUUGCCACUUCCCUGCUCAAUAAAAUUUCGAAGGCUUUCAAUGUCAAAAAGCUAAAGCCAAAAUUAUUUAAUCUUCAUGUAAGACUUCAUAUCCUGGUUUAAGUUUCUUUUUUUAAUUAAAAUUUUAAUUUUGAGAUGAUAUAGAUUUUCAUGCAGUUGUAAGAAAUAAUACAGUGAAAUAAUUCCAUGUACCCUUUAUCGUUUUCCCCAAUGGUUACAUCUUGCAAAAUCCUGGAGCAAUAUCACAACCAGAGUAUUGACACUGAUACAGUCUAGAUACAGAAUAUCUCCACCACCACUGAGGAUCCCACAUGUUGCUUUCUUUGUGUGUGUGUCUUUUUUUAGGGUGGCCGCACCCGUGGUGUAUGGAGGUUUCCCAGCUAUAGCUCCGAUUCGACCUCCAUAUGCCACGGGUACGGCCCUAAAAAGCAAUAAUACUAAUACUGAUACUAAUACUAAUACUAAUACUAAUACUAAUACUAAUACUAAUAGUAAUAAUAACAGCAUCUUAGAGCAAAAUGCAAACUCUGUAGCCUGGCUUGUAUAACUGACCAACUUUAUUUCUCCAUAUCCUUCUAAUCCUCUCUCCUGGCUUUUCUGUUUCAUGAGCAACCACACUGGUCCUGCAUGAGAGCUCUCUCAUUUGUUUGAGACCAUCUUUGAAAUCUCAGAAAAGGAGUCUCACCACUUCAGUUAGACCACCCUGAUGAUGCUAAGGUACCCACCCUCCAUCUCUGUCUCUCUCCAAGCCCUGACCUCCUUGUCCGGGGCUGCCUUGGGGCUGUGUGGUUUGGGCUGGGCAUUGCUGAUGGCUCCAGGCCAUGAGGGUGGGAGGUAGGGAGCUGAAUCCACAGAUUCUUCCCUAGUGCUAGAUGAGCCUCCUCUCUGUGUUAAUAAAAGCAACUAUUGAGUAGACAAGCCUCUCAUCGUGGAGGGAGGGGUAGUUUUCUUCUUGACUUUGUCCACCCAGAGGAGGCAGCUUUUUCUAAUUCAUAUGACAUCAUGAGAGCUGGUACAUGUUAUCAAAUAUUUUCUUGUUUGGUGUGCUUAUCUAUUUGUCUGCUCACCUUUUACUCAUCUAUCAUCUACUUUCACACAUUGGAGUGUAAAUUCCUUGAGGAUAAUGACCUGACUGUAUCUCUUUCACUUCUAGAAUCCCAGAUUUUAGAAUAUUGCAUGGCGCAUAUUUGUUGGUCAAUAGCUAUUUAUUGGAUUAGUAAAUAGGAAAAUAUCUCUACUCAUAAUUUAAAACAAUAUUAGAUGAAAUUACAUGCUGUGAACUUCUCAACAUGGAGAUCAUUCUUGUCAAAUGGACCUAACUCCCGUCCCCCCAGAUGCCCUGUGUGUUUUGAGCAAUUCUUUAUUCUUUUGAUUUGCUCUGACAGUAAUGUUCUUUUCUGCCCCCUAGCUUUGCUUGAAGAAGUCCUAUCUUCCCUGAAUGAAUAUUGCAUUUUCUAAAUAAGCUUCUUCACUUUUCCACUCAGAAUUCUCCCUCUGUCUCCCAUUAUUACCAGGAAGGUUGUUCACUGUUUGGGAAGUUUGGAGCAAAAAAAAAAAAAAAAAAAAAA